rnacentral:rRNA from 1 species
ACACAUGCAAGUCGAGGGGCAGCAUGAGGUAGCAAUACCUUGAUGGCGACCGGCGCACGGGUGAGUAACGCGUAUGCAACCUGCCUGAUACCGGGGUAUAGCCCAUGGAAACGUGGAUUAACACCCCAUAAUACUUUAAUUCUGCAUGGGAUUUAAGUUAAAUUUUUAAGGUAUCGGAUGGGCAUGCGUCCUAUUAGUUAGUUGGCGGGGUAACAGCCCACCAAGACGAUGAUAGGUAGGGGUUCUGAGAGGAAGGUCCCCCACAUUGGAACUGAGACACGGUCCAAACUCCUACGGGAGGCAGCAGUGAGGAAUAUUGGUCAAUGGACGUAAGUCUGAACCAGCCAAGUCGCGUGAGGGAAGACUGCCCUAUGGGUUGUAAACCUCUUUUAUAAGGGAAGAAUAAGUUCUACGUGUAGAAUGAUGCCUGUACCUUAUGAAUAAGCAUCGGCUAACUCCGUGCCAGCAGCCGCGGUAAUACGGAGGAUGCGAGCGUUAUCCGGAUUUAUUGGGUUUAAAGGGUGCGUAGGCGGUUUAUUAAGUUAGUGGUUAAAUAUUUGAGCUAAACUCAAUUGUGCCAUUAAUACUGGUAAACUGGAGUACAGACGAGGUAGGCGGAAUAAGUUAAGUAGCGGUGAAAUGCAUAGAUAUAACUUAGAACUCCGAUAGCGAAGGCAGCUUACCAGACUGUAACUGACG